rnacentral:rRNA from 1 species
UGACCUCGGAUCAGGUAGGGAUACCCGCUGAACUUAAGCAUAUCUAAGGGGGAGAGAGAAA